GUGGGAGAACUGGGCUGUAUGUGAUCUCCAUCAAGACAAAACAAAGUGGACAUGUGCACCAAUGGCCUUUAGCCUCCAAGCUUCUUCCUCUGACUUCCGUUGAGCAUUCUUCAUGAGUACAUGGGCCCGGAGCAGGCAGUAGAAGCUCUACCAACCCAAGGAGAGCAGCUUUCCCUGGUCUAAAGGUGCGAGACAUGUUGAAGGGUUAGACUCAAAGCUGAUGCAAACCUGAUAGAACCAUCCCUGCACGUUUGAAUGGUUAAGAUGUGUGGACUUUAUAAAGGACACUGGCUGUGUCAAGUGGGUUCGGUGUCAGUGUCUUGUCGGGUGCCAUGCCCCCUGGAGAAACUGCUGGCAAACUGUUCAGGAGGCUUGGUUAUGACAGAAUUGGCUGCUCACAGACCACAGGUCAACCCUCCUAUGACAAAGCCUGACUGAUGAAGGAGUUCAUCGCUGAAGAAGAGACUCAGAAAGGAAAUCGAGCCAGGUUAGUACCUGGGUAAUGAGUAUGUAGCCUGUGGGGUGAGAUUUACAGCAGAACUGAACUGGAAUUAAACUAGG
rnacentral:lncRNA from 1 species